GGCAGACACAGCAGGGGAAACAAUUAGUGAGAUUUUACCCCUGCAAGCUGACUUGUUUUCUUCCCUUUUUCGUCCUAGAAAAGCAAAGAAAGAGAGACGGAUCAAAAAAUGGGAAGGAGCAUCACUGAAACAAGGCUGGGGUCUGGUGGGAGAGAGCUCGGAUGGUAUCAAACGCCACUCAAAGGGAGUCGGUAUGCAGUGUGACCGAGAGGGUGUCAUGGUGCGAGAGAGACCUUACCGGAUCCCAGAAAGUUGACAAAGUGGCAUUAGCAAAGAGAUGGCUGAAACACCAUCCGGAGCUGUCGCCAGAGGUCAGCACAAACCCGGACUACACUGGACUUUGUUUCACUAAUAACUGUAUUUACACCACAAGCACUUUAGCACUCACUGUGGACUUGAGUUUGUGUUUUUUGUUUUGUGUGCGUGUUUAGGAACGAGACUAUUAUUACGGGACCAACCUGGGGAUUCACAACAGAGCAAUACACGCUGCUGUAUUGCCUGUUCUCAUUGUUAUUGUUUACUGCCAUGUUGU